GAUGAACGCUGACAGAAUGCUUAACACAUGCAAGUCAACUUGAACUUCGGUUUGGGUGGCGGACGGGUGAGUAACGCGUAAAGAACUUGCCUCACAGAUAGGGACAACAUUUGGAAACGAAUGCUAAUACCUGAUAUUAUGAUUUUAGGGCAUCCUAGGAUUAUGAAAGCUAUAUGCGCUGUGAGAGAGCUUUGCGUCCCAUUAGCUAGUUGGAGAGGUAACGGCUCACCAAGGCGAUGAUGGGUAGCCGGCCUGGGAGGGUGAUCGGCCACAAGGGGACUGGGGCACCGCCCGUACUCCUUCGGGAGGCAGCAGUGGUGAAUAUUGGACAAUGGACCAAGAGUCUGAUCCAGCUAUUCGGUGUGCACGAUGAAGUUUUUCGGAAUGUAAAGUGGUUUCAGUUGGGAAGAAAAAAAUGACGGUACCAACAGAAGAAGUGACGGCUAAAUACGUG
rnacentral:rRNA from 1 species